AGUCUGCAAUCGACUACAUGAAGCUGGAAUCGCUAGUAAUCGCGAAUCAGCAUGUCGCGGUGAAUACGUUCCCGGGUCUUGUACACACCGCCCGUCACACCAUGGGAGUCGGAAAUGCCCGAAGCCGGUGACUCAACCUUUAAGGAGAGAGCCGUCGAAGGCAGGUCUGAUAACUGGGGUGAAGUCGUAACAAGGUAAC
rnacentral:rRNA from 1 species